CUAUGAUUGGUUGCUUUGAGUGAGAAGGUCGAGAAGGUCGAGAAGGAUAAUGGCUAUGUGAUUGGCUAACGCUGUAUCACGUGCACUAUUUAUUUAGUGCGUGAUAAAUUGCCUCUGAUAAAUUGUUGUUGUUCUGCUUGCUAAAAAUAUCAUGCUUUGAGGGUAAAAAUGUAAAAUAGCCAGUUAUCAUAAUAGACGGGUUCGACGACUUUUUCAAGAAUGUCAUGGACCAAACGAGGGACUGGUUCGUGCUCAAAUUGCGGCCAAGAGUAUUCCACUAGAUGGAAGUCCGUGAACUGUAGUAUUAAAAUGUGGUAGCGACAUCGGUGGGACGCGAGAAGUGAAAGCGAAGAGGUCGCGUCUGAAUCAGCCAGCAGCAGUACUGAUUUAUGAAAGUACGCAAGAAAAGCUUUUCUCUGUAAACACAAGUAAACGCGAUGACCGUUGCCGUGUGGUUCAGGAAGGUCUACAUUUUUGUGUUCACAUCAAGUUUAGUUGUGCCCACACUGAAAAGUGCAUGUUCGCAUAGUGUCGUCGCAAAUUUUAUGUCUGGACUCUGGCUGUUUGUCGAAUUAUUUUUCAAGGUAAGAUGAAAGUUUGAUCACAAAUAACAAUGCGUUCUGGUCGAUACGCGUUGAAACUUGAAGCGAAUGAAUUAACUGUAUUUAAAUUAUUAAAUUUUUAGGUGCAUACAAGUCUUCAUAUAAACAAGUGCAGCUCGUCGAUGGUCAGUUUGUAAAAAAUCUGAUUGAACUUGAACAUAGCUUAAUAGAACAUCGUACUUCAAGGUAUAAAUAAUCACAGUGAUAGUUUAUUAUUAAUAUUGUUAUUAUGGGAAUAUCAAUUGAGCAGUAUCGUGCCCGCAUUGGAACACACAAUUGUAUACGAAUGAAAAAUUAUAAACUCAUUGACUUGUACAAAGAUAUUGCUAUAGCAACCCAGUGUGGAAACUUUAUACCAGCAGUUAAUACAUGUAAUAACAUGUCAACCGACUUUUGUAAACGAUAUAAUGGUCUGUAAGAAUAUAUCUCUGAGAUAUGUCCAUUGUUAGCAUAAUGUAUAGGAAAUAAAAUCCUACCGGCCUACAUUUUAUAUAUUCACCUGGCUGUGUCACUACAGUUCAGGGCAGGGUUGGC